AACGAACGCUGGCGGCAUGCCUAACACAUGCAAGUCGAACGAGACCUUCGGGUCUAGUGGCGCACGGGUGCGUAACGCGUGGGAAUCUGCCCUUGGGUUCGGAAUAACAGUUGGAAACGACUGCUAAUACCGGAUGAUGACGUGAGUCCAAAGAUUUAUCGCCCAAGGAUGAGCCCGCGUAGGAUUAGCUAGUUGGUGAGGUAAAGGCUCACCAAGGCGACGAUCCUUAGCUGGUCUGAGAGGAUGAUCAGCCACACUGGGACUGAGACACGGCCCAGACUCCUACGGGAGGCAGCAGUGGGGAAUAUUGGACAAUGGGCGAAAGCCUGAUCCAGCAAUGCCGCGUGAGUGAUGAAGGCCUUAGGGUUGUAAAGCUCUUUUACCCGGGAUGAUAAUGACAGUACCGGGAGAAUAAGCUCCGGCUAACUCCGUGCCAGCAGCCGCGGUAAA
rnacentral:rRNA from 1 species